GUCGGAGUUACUCUGUUGGUAAGGGUACCGAGAUUUUCACUCUCGGCUUCGCGGGUUCGAUUCCCGUCUCCGAUAC
rnacentral:tRNA from 1 species